rnacentral:rRNA from 1 species
AUUGAACGCUGGCGGAAUGCUUCACACAUGCAAGUCGAACGAUGAAGUUCCUUCGGGAAUGGAUUAGUGGCGAACGGGUGAGGAACACGUGAGAAACCUGCCUUUCAUUUUGGGAUAACACCGGGAAACCGGUGCUAAUACUGAAUACUCCGUCUUGGCGGCAUCGCUAAGCCGGGAAAGAAUUUCGAUGAAAGAUGGUCUCGCGGCCUAUCAGCUAGUUGGUGAGGUAAUGGCUCACCAAGGCGACGAC